CUACUGGAAACGGUAGCUAAUACCGCAUAACGUCGCAAGACCAAAGAGGGGGACCUUCGGGCCUCUUGCCAUCGGAUGUGCCCAGAUGGGAUUAGCUUGUUGGUGGGGUAACGGCUCACCAAGGCGACGAUCCCUAGCUGGUCUGAGAGGAUGACCAGCCACACUGGAACUGAGACACGGUCCAGACUCCUACGGGAGGCAGCAGUGGGGAAUAUUGCACAAUGGGCGCAAGCCUGAUGCAGCCAUGCCGCGUGUAUGAAGAAGGCCUUCGGGUUGUAAAGUACUUUCAGCGGGGAGGAAGGGAGUAAAGUUAAUACCUUUGCUCAUUGACGUUACCCGCAGAAGAAGCACCGGCUAACUCCGUGCCAGCAGCCGCGGUAAUACGGAGGGUGCAAGCGUUAAUCGGAAUUACUGGGCGUAAAGCGCACGCAGGCGGUUUGUUAAGUCAGAUGUGAAAUCCCCGGGCUCAACCUGGGAACUGCAUCUGAUACUGGCAAGCUUGAGUCUCGUAGAGGGGGGUAGAAUUCCAGGUGUAGCGGUGAAAUGCGUAGAGAUCUGGAGGAAUACCGGUGGCGAAGGCGGCCCCCUGGACGAAGACUGACGCU
rnacentral:rRNA from 1 species